AUACAGUAUGUCUGAGAUUUUCCUAUGAGAUUUCCCUGCGAAUUUGAACCCUUAAGUAUCACACGUCCUUUUUUACAGAUUAUCAGAUACACCCCUGAUGAAGUCUCUGUGCAAGACGAAACGCGUUGGGUAUUCUAUCUUGUUCUGAUGUGACCUCCAAUCUACAUUAUUUGAAGCAGGAUAUCACAAAAUAAGUAUUUGUACACUUAUGUAAAACCAGACCCCCAUUUUAUGUGAUAGGGGGUUGCUGGACUAAAAAUAAUUUAUGUAUAUGGACACUGCCGCUAUUUUUAUGAAUUUUAAAUAAAACUUGUGUAUUGGAA